AUUGAACGCUGGCGGCAUGCCUUACACAUGCCAGUCGAACGGUAACAGGUUAAGCUGACGAGUGGCGAACGGGUGAGUAAUGUAUCGGAACGUGCCCGGUCGUGGGGGAUAACUGCUCGAAAGAGCAGCUAAUACCGCAUACGACCUGAGGGUGAAAGCGGGGGAUCGCAAGACCUCGCGCGAUUGGAGCGGCCGAUAUCAGAUUAGGUAGUUGGUGAGGUAAAGGCUCACCAAGCCGACGAUCUGUAGCUGGUCUGAGAGGACGACCAGCCACACUGGGACUGAGACACGGCCCAGACUCCUACGGGAGGCAGCAGUGGGGAAUUUUGGACAAUGGGCGCAAGCCUGAUCCAGCCAUGCCGCGUGCGGGAAGAAGGCCUUCGGGUUGUAAACCGCUUUUGUCAGGGAAGAAAAGGUUCUGGCUAAUACCUGGGACUCAUGACGGUACCUGAAGAAUAAGCACCGGCUAACUACGUG
rnacentral:rRNA from 1 species